rnacentral:rRNA from 1 species
CCUACGGGUGGCUGCAGUGGGGAAUAUUGGACAAUGGGCGAAAGCCUGAUCCAGCCAUGCCGCGUGUAUGAAGAAGGCCUUCGGGUUGUAAAGCACUUUCAGUGGGGAAGAAAGCCUUGGGGCUAAUACCCUCGAGGAAGGACAUCACCCACAGAAGAAGCACCGGCUAACUCCGUGCCAGCAGCCGCGGUAAUACGGAGGGUGCGAGCGUUAAUCGGAAUUACUGGGCGUAAAGCGCGCGUAGGCGGUCUGAUAAGCCGGUUGUGAAAGCCCCGGGCUCAACCUGGGAACGGCAUCCGGAACUGUCAGGCUAGAGUGCAGGAGAGGAAGGUAGAAUUCCCGGUGUAGCGGUGAAAUGCGUAGAGAUCGGGAGGAAUACCAGUGGCGAAGGCGGCCUUCUGGACUGACACUGACGCUGAGGUGCGAAAGCGUGGGUAGCAAACAGGAUUAGAUACCCCAGUAGUC